GGGCCCGCACAAGCGGUGGAGCAUGUGGUUUAAUUCGAUGAUACGCGAGGAACCUUACCAGGGCUUAAAUGUAAGUUGCAUAGAUCAGAGAUGGUCUUUUCUUCGGACUACUUACAAGGUGCUGCAUGGUUGUCGUCAGCUCGUGCCGUGAGGUGUCAGGUUAAGUCCUAUAACGAGCGCAACCCCUGUCGUUAGUUGCCAGCAAGUAAUGUUGGGCACUCUAGCGAGACUGCCGGUGCAAACCGCGAGGAAGGUGGGGAUGACGUCAAAUCAUCACGGCCCUUACGUCCUGGCUACACACGUGCUACAAUGGUCGGUACAGAGAGCAGCCACUACGCGAGUAGGAG
rnacentral:rRNA from 1 species